GCCGAAGUGGCGCAAGCGGUAGACGCACAGAGCUUAAACCUCUGCGAUUUGCGGGUUCGACUCCCGCCUUCGGCA
rnacentral:tRNA from 1 species